rnacentral:rRNA from 1 species
UACGUAGGGACCAAGCGUUGUCCGGAAUCAUUGGGCGUAAAGAGCGUGUAGGCGGCUUGUUAAGUCUUGCGUGAAAUCUCGGGGCUCAACCCCGAGCGGUCGUGAGAAACUGGCAGGCUAGAGUGCGGGAGAGGAGAGUGGAAUUCCUGGUGUAGCGGUGAAAUGCGCAGAUAUCAGGAAGAACACCCGUGGCGAAGGCGGCUCGCUGGGACGGUACUGACGCUGAGACGCGAAAGCGUGGGGAGCAAACAGG